rfam:Trichinella spiralis unplaced genomic scaffold Scfld4, whole genome shotgun sequence.
GGGCCGCUAGCUCAAAUGGUAGAGCGCUCGCUUUGCAUGCGAGAGGCACGGGGAUCGAUACCCCGGCGGUCCA